rnacentral:rRNA from 1 species
UUUAACUGAAGAGUUUGAUCAUGGCUCAGAUUGAACGCUGGCGGCAGGCUUAACACAUGCAAGUCGAGCGGGGGAAGGUAGCUUGCUACUGGACCUAGCGGCGGACGGGUGAGUAAUGCUUAGGAAUCUGCCUAUUAGUGGGGGACAACAUCUCGAAAGGGAUGCUAAUACCGCAUACGUCCUACGGGAGAAAGCAGGGGAUCUUCGGACCUUGCGCUAAUAGAUGAGCCUAAGUCGGAUUAGCUAGUUGGUGGGGUAAAGGCCUACCAAGGCGACGAUCUGUAGCGGGUCUGAGAGGAUGAUCCGCCACACUGGGGCUGAGAC